rnacentral:lncRNA from 1 species
GCCAGUGACAUUGUUGAGGAUGACUUCGUACAUAUGAUGAGUUUAGUGGAUUAUGAGUUAAAGUUUAUCAGAUGAGAGUCCUUAUAGAGGAUGAUAGUUUUUUUUCUAAGAUGGGAGAUUUGAUUGACAUGGUUUUCUUCAUGAUGAGCCUGAGAUGGAUGUGUUGGAUGAUAGGUGGAUGGCUAACACAGAUUAACCAG